rnacentral:rRNA from 1 species
AGACCCGAAACCCGGUGAUCUAGCCAUGGGCAGGUUGAAGGUUGGGUAACACUAACUGGAGGACCGAACCGACUAAUGUUGAAAAAUUAGCGGAUGACCUGUGGCUGGGGGUGAAAGGCCAAUCAAACCGGGAGAUAGCUGGUUCUCCCCGAAAGCUAUUUAGGUAGCGCCUCGUGAAUUCAUCUCCGGGGGUAGAGCACUGUUUCGGCUAGGGGGCCAUCCCGGCUUACCAACCCGAUGCAAACUGCGAAUACCGGAGAAUGUUAUCACGGGAGACACACGGCGGGUGCUAACGUCCGUCGUGAAGAGGGAAACAACCCAGACCGCCAGCUAAGGUCCCAAAGUCAUGGUUAAGUGGGAAACGAUGUGGGAAGGCCCAGACAGCCAGGAUGUUGGCUUAGAAGCAGCCAUCAUUUAAAGAAAGCGUAAUAGCUCACUGGUCGAGUCGGCCUGCGCGGAAGAUGUAACGGGGCUAAACCAUGCACCGAAGCUGCGGCAGCGAACGUAUCACCCAAGACAACUUUACGGAGUUGACGAUUGACGGAGCGAAGCGACGUCAAAGCGUUCAUUAAAGUCGAGUUGGCUUAGGGAUACGUUCGUUGGGUAGGGGAGCGUUCUGUAAGCCUGUGAAGGUGUGUCGUGAGGCAUGCUGGAGGUAUCAGAAGUGCGAAUGCUGACAUAAGUAACGAUAAAGCGGGUGAAAAGCCCGCUCGCCGGAAGACCAAGGGUUCCUGUCCAACGUUAAUCGGGGCAGGGUGAGUCGACCCCUAAGGCGAGGCCGAAAGGCGUAGUCGAUGGGAAACGGGUUAAUAUUCCCGUACUUGGUGUUACUGCGAAGGGGGGACGGAGAAGGCUAUGUUGGCCGGGCGACGGUUGUCCCGGUUUAAGGGUGUAGGUGUGUGUUCCAGGUAAAUCCGGUUCACUUUAACACUGAGGCGUGACGACGAGGCACUACGGUGCUGAAGCAACAAAUGCCCUGCUUCCAGGAAAAGCCUCUAAGCAUCAGGUAACACGAAAUCGUACCCCAAACCGACACAGGUGGUCAGGUAGAGAAUACCAAGGCGCUUGAGAGAACUCGGGUGAAGGAACUAGGCAAAAUGGUGCCGUAACUUCGGGAGAAGGCACGCUGACACGUAGGUGAAGUGAUUUACUCAUGGAGCUGAAGUCAGUCGAAGAUACCAGCUGGCUGCAACUGUUUAUUAAAAACACAGCACUGUGCAAACACGAGAGUGGACGUAUACGGUGUGACGCCUGCCCGGUGCCGGAAGGUUAAUUGAUGGGGUCAGCGUAAGCGAAGCUCCUGAUCGAAGCCCCGGUAAACGGCGG